rnacentral:ncRNA from 1 species
AGCUUUUCUGUUCCCUGGAAUUGGCUUUGGGCCUUUCCUGCGUAGUUUAGGUGGAAGAUGAAAAAGGCCACCUUCCUAGGGGGGCCCGAGCCAUCAAUGAUAUACUCCUGUGGAAGAGCUAGAAUUCUAACCUUAUGUCAAGACCUACAUCCCAAGGGACAAUCUCAAGUGGACAUUUUCUAUGGGGCGUAAGCCUCCCAAAGGAUAACAGAGGCGUGCAAACUGGACAAAGAUUGGCCAUCGAGUGCAAAGGCAGAAGGGAGCUUGACUACAAGUCCCACCCAUCGAGCGGGGACAAAAGUCGGCCUUAGUGAUCCGACAGUGUCGAGUGGAAGCGCCAUCACUCAAUGGAUAAAAGUUAC